rnacentral:rRNA from 1 species
GUGGUUUAAUUCGAUGCUACACGAAGAACCUUACAGGGUUGACAUACAAGUAGUAGGAAAGGAAACUGGACCGACCCUUCGGGGAGCCUAUACAGGUGUUGCAUGGCUGUCGUCAGCUCGUGUCGUGAGAUGUUCGGUUAAGUCCGCUAACGAGCGCAACCCUCGUCGUAUGUUAUAUGUGUCAUACGAGACUGCCGGUAAAAAGCCGGAGGAAGGUGAGGAUGAUGUCAAGUCAGCAUGACCUUUAUAUCCAGGGCUACACACACGCUACAAUGGUCUGUACAAUGGGUAGCCAAGCCGCGAGGCGGAGCCAAUCCUGAAAGCAGGCCUCAGUUCAGAUUGCAGUCUGCAACUCGACUGCAUGAAGCCGGAGUUGCUAGUAACCGCAGGUCAGCAAUACUGCGGUGAAUACGUUCCCGGGUCUU